GGCUGGUUGGCUCAGUUGGUUAGAGCGUGGUGCUGAUAACACCAGGGUCCAGGUCAAUCCCUGUACUGGCCA